rnacentral:rRNA from 1 species
UACGUAGGGUGCAAGCGUUGUCCGGAAUUAUUGGGCGUAAAGGGCGUGUAGGCGGCUUCGUAAGUCUUGUGUGAAAGCCCUCGGCUCAACCGAGGAAUUGCACGAGAAACUGCGUGGCUCGAGUCCGGGAGAGGAUAGUGGAAUUCCCAGUGUAGCGGUGAAAUGCGUAGAUAUUGGGAGGAACACCGGUGGCGAAGGCGGCUAUCUGGACCGGUACUGACGCUGAUACGCGAAAGCCAGGGGAGCAAACGGG